AUUGAACGCUGGCGGCAGGCCUAACACAUGCAAGUCGAGCGAGCGGCGGACGGGUGAGUAAUGUAUGGGGACUGCCCGAUAGCGGGGGAUAACUACUGGAAACGGUAGCUAAUACCGCAUACUAUCGGAUAACCCAUAUGGGAUUAGCUAGUAGGUGAGGUAAUGGCUCACCUCGGCGACGAUCCCUAGCUGGUCUGAGAGGAUGAUCAGCCAAACGGGAACUAGGACACGGCCCGGACUCCUACGGAGGCAGAAGUGGGAAAUAUUGCAAAAUGGGGGCAAGCCUGAGGCAGCCAGGCGGGGGGUAUGAAGAGGGCCCUAGGGUGGUAAAGUACUUUCAGUCGGGAGGCGUUACCGAAAGAAGAAGAACCGGCUAACUACGUGCCAGAAGCGGGGGUAUUC
rnacentral:rRNA from 1 species